CAAGCCGGACGAGUGACGGUCCGGAGGGAAGAUUUUGACCUCCUCGCCAGCUUGCAGGAUGCCAUGGGUGGACGUCGCUGAAAUUUGCGUCACCUGUCUGUUUGACUUUUCAUCACCUAUUAGUUUGUCAUUACCUGUUCGUCACCAAAGGCCUGUCACCAUUACCUGUUCGUCACCAUCUUGGGAAAAAAAUCGAUAAAAAAGCGGGGGAAAAUUAUUUUUUAUUCAGAUCCUUCUUUUAGCGAGUGCUACACAGAAAUUGGGAAUCUUGCAUAUCCAGAUGAGUGUCUGCUGUCCUUUACCAUAUUGGACUAUUUUCUGCUGUAUAAACUGCACGUAUACUAAAGAAAGCAAAAAAUAGAUAAAUAAAUAAAAAAUCCUUCUUUCAGCGAGUGCAGCACAGAAAUUACCAACUUUGCGUAUCCAGAUCAGUGUCCGCAGGCGUAUACCAUAUUGGACUAUUUUCUUCUCUUUGAACUGCACGUA